UACGAAGGGGGCUAGCGUUGCUCGGAAUGACUGGGCGUAAAGGGCGCGUAGGCGGAUGGCACAGUCAGAUGUGAAAUUCCCGGGCUUAACCUGGGGGCUGCAUUUGAUACGUGUGAUCUAGAGUGAGGAAGAGGGUCGUGGAAUUCCCAGUGUAGAGGUGAAAUUCGUAGAUAUUGGGAAGAACACCGGUGGCGAAGGCGGCGACCUGGUCCUUGACUGACGCUGAGGCGCGAAAGCGUGGGGAGCGAACAGG
rnacentral:rRNA from 1 species